ACACUUACCUGGCAGGAGAGAUAUCAUGAUCACGAAGGUGGUUUUCCCCAGCAGGGUGGAUCCAUUGCACUCUGGAUGUGCUGUCCCCUGUGAUUUCCCCAAAUGUGGGGACCUCAACUGCAUAAUUUGUGGUGGUGGGGGACUGCGUUCCCACUCUACCUGU
rnacentral:snRNA from 1 species